AAAAAAUCAUUAGUAUAUAUUUAUAGGCUGACAGCUUGUGUUAAUAAUACAUUUUUGGACAUCUUGGAUUUAUAUUUGUCAGCAUUUUUUUUUUCUCAAUUUAAACCUGAUGCCAAGAAUCACAUUACUGUGUGGCUUUUGUCCAAGAGCUGAAAACAUAACUUUGUUAUUCUCUAACUUUGGAAGAUUAUUGGCAAACAAAAGUGCGCUCAUCAGGUUAUACAACUAAAAGACAAACUCAGGAGCCAAAAACUGCAGUCAUAUAAAUCUUCAGCACCUGAGCAGCUUGAGGAUGAGAUAAAAAAAAAA